UGGAGAACUUUUCUGUCUAGUUAAAGGAUUGUAAAUGCAUCAAUCAGCACUCUGUAAAAAUGUACGAAUCAGCGCUGUGUCUACCUAAAGGACUGUAAAUGCACCAAACACCACUCUGUAAAAUGCACCAAUCAGUGCUCUGCAAAAUGGACCAAUCAGUGCUCUGCAAAAUGGACCGAUCUGCAACGCAUGGGCGGGGAUAAAUAAUGGAAUAAACAACCUGCUCGGGUUCCCUUCCAGCUGUGGAAGCUUUGUUCAUUCCCUCUUCCUAAUAAAUCUUGCUGCUGCUGACUGUUUGGAUCUGCACCACCUUUAACAGCUGUAACACUCGCCACGAAACUCUGUGGCUUCAUUCUUGAAGUCAGAGACACCACGAACCCACCAGAAGGGAGAAACUCCAGACACAUCUGAAGGAACAAACUCUGUACACACCAUCGUUAAGAGCUGUAACAAUCACUGCGAAGGUCUGUGGCUUCAUUCUUGAAGUCAGCGAGACCAAGAACCCACCAGAAGCAACCAACUCUGGACACAGCAGGACGUCAGACUUCUACCUGCUCACUCAGAAUCAUUUCUGCGCCAACCAUGACCACCUUUGUGGAGCUCAGUACCAAAGCCAAGAUGCCCAUUGUGGGCCUGGGCACAUGGCAGUCUCCUCUCGGCAAAGUGAAAGAAGCGGUGAAGGUGGCCAUUGAUGCAGGGUAUCGCCACAUUGACUGUGCCUAUGUCUAUCAGAAUGAACAUGAGGUGGGGGAAGCCAUCCAAGAGAAGAUCCAAGAGCAGGCUGUGAAGCGGGAGGACCUGUUCAUCGUCAGCAAGUUGUGGCCCACGUUUUUUGAGAGACGGCUUGUGAGGAAAGCCUUUGAGAAGACCCUCAAGGACCUGAAGCUGAGCUAUCUGGACGUCUAUCUUAUUCACUGGCCACAGGGAUUCAAGUCUGGGGAUGACUUUUACCCCAAAGAUGAUAAAGGUAAUAUCAUCGGUGGAAAAGCAAUGUUCUUGGAUGCCUGGGAGGCCAUGGAGGAGCUGGUGGAUGAGGGGCUGGUGAAAGCCCUUGGCAUCUCCAAUUUCAACCACUUCCAGAUCGAGAGGCUCUUGAACAAACCUGGACGGAAAUAUAAACCAGUGACUAACCAGGUUGAGUGUCACCCGUACCUCACACAGGAGAAACUGAUCCAGUACUGCCACUCCAAGGGCAUCACCGUUACAGCCUACAGCCCCCUGGGCUCUCCGGAUAGACCUUGGUGAGGCUUCCAAGCAGCCAAGCCAGAGGACCCUUCCCUGCUGGAGGAGCCAAGAUAAGGAGAUUGCUGCAAGCACAAGAAAACCGCAGCCCAGGUUCUGAUCCAUUUCCAUAUCCAGAGGAAUGUGAUUGUGAUCCCCAAGUCUGUGACACCGGCAUGCAUUGUUGAGAACAUUCAGGUCUUUGACUUUAAAUUGAGUGAUGAGGAGAUGGCAACGAUACUCAGCUUCAACAGAAACUGGAGGGCCUGCAAGAUGUUGCAAUCCUCUCAUUUGGAGGACUACCCCUUCGAUGCAGAAUAUUGAGGUUGAAUCUCCUGGUGACAUUACACAGGGAAUUCUCUUUCUUCACUGAAGUGUGACUAUCUCCACUCACGUCCUAUUUUAGCCAAGCUUAUCUGAGAUCACAGUGAACUUCGUCCUGCUGUAGACCAGAAUCGAGGUGCUGUUUUAGACAUGUAUUUCUGUAUGUGCAACUAGGAUCAGAAUAUCACAGGAAAAUAUGGCUUGAAUAAGCAAAUGACAAUUUUUUCCACUUCUCUGAUCUGAACAAAUGUUUGUUAAGCACAAGAAACUCUGCCAACACUAAGGAUGUAAAGAUCAAUAAUAAACAAUAAUGAUGGUAACCAA